UAGGGAAUCUUCCGCAAUGGGCGAAAGCUUGACGGAGCAACGCCGCGUGAGUGAUGAAGGUCUUCGGAUCGUAAAACUCUGUUAUUAGGGAAGAACAAAUGUGUAAGUAACUAUGCACGUCUUGACGGUACCUAAUCAGAAAGCCACGGCUAACUACGUGCCAGUAGCCGCGGUAAUACGUAGGUGGCAAGCGUUAUCCGGAAUUAUUGGGCGUAAAGCGCGCGUAGGCGGUUUUUUAAGUCUGAUGUGAAAGCCCACGGCUCAACCGUGGAGGGUCAUUGGAAACUGGAAAACUUGAGUGCAGAAGAGGAAAGUGGAAUUCCAUGUGUAGCAGUGAAAUGCGCAGAGAUAUGGAGGAACACCAGUGGCGAAGGCGACUUUCUGGUCUGUAACUGACGCUGAUGUGCGAAAGCGUGGGGAUCAAACAGG
rnacentral:rRNA from 1 species